rnacentral:lncRNA from 10 species
AAAAAAAAAAAAAAAACCCUUCAGUCAACACUUCAGCACUUCACAGAGAGUUCUUCCAAGGGGGAAGGCCCAGAGAGGCCCAGGUUGAUCCCACCAGGGAAGCUGGAAUGAGAGAACUGUGGAGACAAAGACAGAGACCCACGGGGAUCCUCCCCACCCUGCCCUCAGCAGGACAGAGGUACUCACCAGACCAGGUGGCAGAGACAGACCCAGGAAGGAGAGCAAGGCAGCCAGGCUCCCAGGCCUCACCCCCACAUGGUGAGCUCACCGGUCUUACUCAUUUCUGCAUGAGGUAAGGGUCUCGCCCACACCAGGUGCCAACCAGUGCUUACGGCUACCACAUGGCAACAGGGGUCACUGGAGGAGUGCUUAGGAGCAAGGGAGUCCUUCUCACCCCGUGAAAUCACACCACUGACUAUGCUACGAAAUAAUCACCUCUCCUCUGGAUCCCAAGAGUGGAACCGAGACAACGGGUCGGAAAAGAGCUUCAGAGAGCUACAAAUCCCUGAGGAGUGACAGCAGGAAACUGCGGCUCCCAGGACCCAGUGAGGGAGUUGAGCAAACCCCCCAGCGGGCAGAGACGGAGACAGGCAGGCAGACGAAGAAGACAAAGAGUCAGUCAGAUGGAAAAGCCAGGGAGAAAAACAGAGACAGCAGCAGAGCCGCGGGUCACUAGGGUCAGCUCCUGAAGGCCUGUCCUUAAUCAGGUGUCUCUGUCUCAGGAACUGAGGCUGCGACUGCGCCCAUCAAAUGGCCAUAUACCUGAGACUGGUGAUAAUCGUAUUCAUUUGCCACUAACUUGCUGCGUAACCUUGGGCAACUCCCUCCCCCACGGCAGGGCAGGAGAGUUGUACGGAAUGGCCCCUAGAGUCCGAUCCCAAUCCCACUCUCACAUUCUCCAGCUGUCUACAAAGGCAGAGUAGUCAAGACACAAGCAGGCCCUGCGGACAUCCAAAGCAGUGACUCUGCCCCGGCCCAGCCUCAGGAAGCUGGGUCCUCACAUUCCGUCCACCCCAUCUCCGGGCUCCAGGUGCCAGAAAUUUUCCACCAGCGGCCCCGCGGGAUUUUGCCCAGCUGCUUCGUGCCCUCUGGUGGCUAAGGCGUGUCAUUGCAGUGCCGGCCUCCUGUCAUCCUCCCUUUCUUGUCCGCCAGACCCUCUGGCGCCCUGCUUACGACUCAAACAGGAGACAGUGCUGAUUCAUUUCCAAGCGGCCUUCCUACACCCACACCUGCUUCACAUAGAUGAGGUUUCCCGGACAGUCCCUGCCCAGAAGCCCAGGUGGAUGUCUGAGACGGCAGCCAGAUACCUGGAAGCCAUUUUAAAAGCCUAGGGAUAUGGGUACUCGGGAGAUAGGAGGCGGAAAGACCACUUGAGCCUAGGAGUUUGAGGCUGCAGUGAGCCAUGAUCGUGCCACUGCACUCCAGCCUGGACGACAGAGCAAGACCCUGUCUCAAUCAAUCAAUCAAUGCAAGCCUAGAGAUAAGGGCAGGAGAAAACCAGGGGACAGAAGUGAGGGAUUGGCCACUGCCAAGUUCUGCCCACCCACCCCCUUUCCCCAGGCCGUUCAGGGGAAAGAGAAAUGGCCUCAUUGUGGGGGCCACAGGUUUAGUUUAAGUCCUGACAUUGCCUCUGGCUUACUGUGUGACUGUCGACCUUGGUUGAGUGGUGCCACGAACCUGAGCUUAAACGUUUUCAGCAGAAGGACCCCCUUUAUUAUGCCCCGCCCCACAAAAUAAGUUCUGAGGUAUUCUGUCUUAGCAAAAUGCAUUAAAUAAUUUAUUUCCCCUGUUGUACUAAUUGGAUCCAUAAGUGUCUCCCGGCAGCAUGACCAGCAUGCGAGGACCCACGUUAUCACAUUGGGUUCAGGUCAUCCUGGAUUUGUCACUCACAAUGGGCGUGUGCAUAUCCUUUGCUGGGGGGUGCAGACUGAAAUUUUGAAGCACUCGCUGUGCGUCAGGUGCUCUCCGUACAUUACCCCAUUU